rnacentral:rRNA from 1 species
GACGAACGCUGGCGGCGUGCUUAACACAUGCAAGUCGAACGGAAAGGCCCUGCUUUUGUGGGGUGCUCGAGUGGCGAACGGGUGAGUAACACGUGAGUAACCUGCCCUUGACUUUGGGAUAACUUCAGGAAACUGGGGCUAAUACCGGAUAGGAGCUCCUGCUGCAUGGGGGGGGUUGGAAAGUUUCGGCGGUUGGGGAUGGACUCGCGGCUUAUCAGCUUGUUGGUGGGGUAGUGGCUUACCAAGGCUUUGACGGGUAGCCGGCCUGAGAGGGUGACCGGCCACAUUGGGACUGAGAUACGGCCCAGACUCCUACGGGAGGCAGCAGUGGGGAAUAUUGCACAAUGGGCGGAAGCCUGAUGCAACAACGCCGCGUGCGGGAUGACGGCCUUCGGGUUGUAAACCGCUUUCGCCUGUGACGAAGCGUGAGUGACGGUAAUGGGUAAAGAAGCACCGGCUAACUACGUG